rnacentral:rRNA from 1 species
GGUUGCAAUCAUCUUGUUAUCAACUCUCACAACAUGGAAGUCAUUGACACAAUGAAGAACGGAGGACAUUCUGCAGGAGCGAUUUUUUAUGAUUGUUUUUUUAUGGCUUGUGAUUUUCCUCUUGCUAGCUUUGAACAUUGUAAUAGGGAAGCGAACAAGAUAGCGCAUGAGUUUGCUCGACUAGCAAAAUGUUCCGUGAUGAGGGAUUGGAUCGAGGAGCCUAUGAGAAAUAUUGUAUGUCUUCUUAUAGACGAUGUAACCAUUACUAGCGUGGGCUGCCUGACUGUAGCGAUUGCAGCCUCUGGUUCCCGGGGCCUCGGAAGGCUCCCGGUUAAUUACUCCCGUGGGUUACUCCGUGGGAUACCUUCGAUUAAGCUGUGUGAUCGUCUUCGUCAUCUUUGCUUUUGUGUUCUCCAUGCAUGA